GUGAGUACUUUCUUUUUGUUUUGGGAUUUUUGAGUACCUUUUGUAUUUUGAACAAAGUUUGUUUGGUUUGGUUGCUUUAAUUAAUCGAACUUUCAGUGAUCACGGGUUGAUAUUAGAUUCAAAUAUAUGGUCUUUUUAUCACAAAUAGAGGAAAGUGAGAGCGAUAUUCAAACCCAAAUGGAUUAAUUUGGGAGGUAACCAUUUGGGUUUUUGAAUUGGGGAGAGGAAUGAGGAAUUUAGGUUGGUUCUGCAUCUGUGCUUUGAUUGAUGUUUCCACAAAUAUUUCAAAGUGUUCCUAUUUAAUUUUGUACUGUGCAAGUAAUUAUGAAUUGUACUAUGUGAGUGCUUUGUUGAUGAACACAUGGUCAUAACCCAGUUUGUCACUGUUGAAUAAAAGCGAAAACAUGUUUGUAAAGCCACAUGUUAUUUGACCCUGAGUUUGAAAUAUGCAAAUUUGAAGCAGAAGUUAAUGACUUCGAAUAUUCAGGAAUAACAGUAUCGUUCCAUAGUAUGAUAAAUAGCAGUUGAACACUGAUUAGUAGGUUCUCAUUGUGAGUCUGGACACUGCUUGGUCUUCCUGGCCAUUUUAGUAACAGGUGUUUAAGGUUGUCUAGUUUAGCUUCUACUAUUGUUGCACCCACCUACUUGAACUUGGAUAUAUGCCCCUAAAUUUACUAACUUCUUAAACCCUCAUUGUAGUUUGAUGUCCUGUUGCUUUAUUCUUAGGAGGGGGUUGGGGUACUGCUCUAAGAAUAUUGCUUGAUUUAGCUAUGUUAGGAAGCUUCUGGUAUUGGGUUCUUUGAGAUUUUACUAUUUAUUGUGGUCAUCUUUGAAGAUAAUCCAAACAUUGUGUUCUUCACUGAAUACCUUAUGAUGGCCGGUUAGCACCGUUAUUUCCUCAUGUACAAGGCUGUUCUAUUUCUGUUCAUUUUUAUAAUCCUUCCUCUUGGGCUUGGGUUGGUGUUAAAAGAUGGAAUGUUGCUGUCUUAUUCAGCAUCCUAGAUGUAAAAAUCUAUAAAAGUUUUACGUUGUUAGAAGAAUCCUUCAUUUUGGUUCUCGGAGUAGCAUUAAAUGCUUAUGCUUCACAUUGCAUUUUCUCAGGGAAAGUUUUAUAUUGAUUUGCUAUUAUUUCCUAAUGCAUUUUCUUUUUUGCUUCCCAAAAAUAUUUGCCUCGGGAUCUUCUCCAGACCCAACAUGGUAAGAUGAUAUGCUUUGUACUUUGAUUUGUGACACUAAGUUUCCUAAUGAUAUUUUCUUGCUUUUGAUUACUAACUGGUUCUGCUUUUGGUUUUUAAGAUCACCCUUACAGGAUUCAUGUUCUUGGUUACUUCUGCACUGCUUGGCUAUAUAUAUUCACCUCAUUUGGAUACAGCUCCACCAAGAUGGGUUCACUUUGCACAUGGAUUACUUCUAUUUUUAUAUCAGACUUUUGAUGCUGUUGAUGGGAAGCAAGCACGACGGACAAGCUCCUCGAGCCCAUUGGGAGAACUUUUUGACCAUGGAUGUGAUGCUCUUGCAUGUGCAUUUGAAAGCAUGGCUUUUGGUAGCACUGCAAUGUGUGGAAGAGACACUUUCUGGUUUUGGGUUUUAUCAGCUGUUCCAUUCUACGGCGCAACAUGGGAACACUUUUUCACAAAUACUCUUAUUCUUCCUGCAAUUAAUGGACCAACCGAGGGUCUGAUGAUGAUAUAUGUAGCUCAUUUUUUCACAGGCGUAGUUGGUGCUGAGUGGUGGGUUCAGAACUUUGGGAAGUCUUUUCCCUUUUUAAGUUGGGUGCCAAUUAUAAGUGAAAUCCCAACUUUCAGAGCUGUGCUGUUUAUAAUGAUAGCUUGUGGUGUUAUUCCUACGAUUGCAUUCAAUGUGUGCAAUGUCUACAAGGUUGUUCAGUCAAGAAAAGGCAGCAUGUUACUGGCAUUAGCCAUGGUAAAUCUGUAACUUUUUGGAACAUGCAUUUCUCAAUUACAUUUGUGCUUAAUAGAUUUCUUAUUCUUUUCUCGUAUUAUCAGCUUUAUCCUUUUGUUGUGCUCAUGGGAGGCGUCUUGGUGUGGUAUGAUUUAACCUGCAACAUUAUCAUGUGCAUAAUCAAUUCUUGAUGUGCAUUGUGGUCUUUAUUUAGGAUCUUACUUCAUAUGCAGGGAUUAUCUGUCUCCAUCUGAUAUAAUGGGAAAAUAUCCUCAUCUAGUUAUACUGGGGACUGGACUUGCAUUUGGGUUUCUUGUGGGAAGGAUGAUUCUGGCCCACUUGUGUGAUGAACCAAAGGGAUUGAAAACUAACAUGUGCAUGUCUUUAUUAUAUCUACCAUUGGCCAUUGCAAAUGCACUCACUGCCAAACUGAAUGAUGGGGUUCCUUUGGUUGAUGAAUUCUGGGUUCUUCUUGGCUAUUGUGUAUUCACAGUGGGACUCUAUUUACACUUUGCCACGUCAGUCAUUCAUGAAAUCACAACAGCCUUGGGCAUUAAUUGCUUCAGGAUAACUAGGAAAGAGGCUUGAAAAAUGCAGGAUCUGAUCUCAGUGGUUUGGGGCUUUGGGCUACUUUUGAUUGAUGGGAUUUCUGUAUGCUCAAUUAUGAUUCAGCUGGCAAGUCCAGAGCUAUGCGGCAAAAUUGAUGAUUUGGCACAUCUAUCUUUUUUAGGUUUAAUAUUGAUGACAGGGUUGUAACUGGAUUCAGGGCACAACAUCUGGUUCAACCAUGUUGAUACAGAUUAUUUAAUAUCACAGUAGAGUAGGCAAUUUGAGGCAUGCAGACCUUUUAUGAAUAUCGCAAUGUUUUUUGAUUUUUAAGGUGCAUGCUUGAGACUUUGCAUGCGAGGGAUAGUGUUUUUUUUUCCUUUUUUGGGUGGGGGUGGAAAAUUACUGUUUGAUGCAUUGUUGGAUGAGUAGUAAUAGUAGGGCUUGGCUAUAAAGUAUAGAUAAAAGCAUAUAAUUCUUAGAGCAACUGGGUUAAUAUCAAAAGGCAAGUCAUUGUUAUAUGAGAUCUACCAUAUGACUUGCCUAUUGGUUUUUUUUGGGAUGUUGUUGCAUAGGAAAGUCAUCUUAUGAUUUGAAGAUGAAAUUCUGGUUAGGUUUUUGGGUUUCAUUGGAGAUUUAAUCAUUACAAACGGGAUCCUAAGUAUCUGAAUUUAUGUUUUCAUACAUUCUAUAAUUUUUUUUUUGUUUUAAUUUUU
rnacentral:misc_RNA from 1 species